rnacentral:rRNA from 1 species
CCUACGGGAGGCAGCAGUGAGGAAUAUUGGACAAUGGAGGCAACUCUGAUCCAGCCAUGCCGCGUGCAGGAAGACGGCCCUACGGGUUGUAAACUGCUUUUAUACAGGAAGAAUUAUACCUACGUGUAGGUAUUUGACGGUACUGUAAGAAUAAGGAUCGGCUAACUCCGUGCCAGCAGCCGCGGUAAUACGGAGGGUGCAAGCGUUAUCCGGAUUUAUUAGGUUUAAAGGGUUCGCAGGCGGAAUUUUAAGUCAGUGGUGAAAGCCUAUAGCUCAACUAUAGAACUGCCACUGAUACUGAUAUUCUUGAGUGUAGAUGAAGUGGGCGGAAUAUGUCAUGUAGCGGUGAAAUGCAUAGAUAUGACAUGGAACACCAAUUGCGAAGGCAGCUCACUAAACAAUUACUGACGCUCAUGAACGAAAGCAUGGGGAGCGAACAGGAUUAGAUACCCUGGUAGUCCAUACCGUAAACUAUGAUCACUAGAUGUUGGCGAUAUACUGUCAGUGUUUAAGAGAAAUCGUUAAGUGAUCCACCUGGGGAGUACGUUCGCAAGAAUGAAACUCAAAGGAAUUGACGG